rnacentral:rRNA from 1 species
AGCAGCCGCGGUAAUUCCAGCUCCAAUAGCGUAUAUUAAAGUUGUUGCAGUUAAAAAGCUCGUAGUUGAAUUUCGGGAUCAAUUUAUCGGUCGUGCCAAUGGUAUGAACUGGUACAAUUGGUUUCUCCCUUCUGACGAAGCAUGAUGUCAUUAAUUUGGUGUCGUGGGGAAUCAGGACUGUUACUUUGAAAAAUUAGAGUGUUUAAAGCAAGCAUUAGCUUGAAUACAUUAGCAUGGAAUAAUGAAAUAGGACGUUUGAUCCUAUUUCGUUGGUUUCUAGGAUCGACGUAAUGAUUAAUAGGGAUAGUUGGGGGUAUUAGUAUUCAAUUGUCAGAGGUGAAAUUCUUGGAUUUAUUGAAGACUAACUACUGCGAAAGCAUUUGCCAAGGAUGUUUUCAUUAAUCAAGAACGAAAGUUAGGGGAUCGAAGACGAUCAGAUACCGUCGUAGUCUUAACCAUAAACUAAUGCCGACUAGGGAUCGGAUGAUGUUAAUCUUUAAUGACU